rnacentral:rRNA from 1 species
GAUGAACGCUGGCGGCGUGCCUAAUACAUGCAAGUCGAGCGAACAGACGAGGAGCUUGCUCCUUUGACGUUAGCGGCGGACGGGUGAGUAACACGUGGGUAACCUACCUAUAAGACUGGGAUAACUUCGGGAAACCGGAGCUAAUACCGGAUAAUAUUUCGAACCGCAUGGUUCGAUAGUGAAAAAUGGCUUUGCUAUCACUUAUAGAUGGACCUGCGCCGUAUUAGCUAGUUGGUAAGGUAACGGCUUACCAAGGCAACGAUACGUAGCCGACCUGAGAGGGUGAUCGGCCACACUGGAACUGAGACACGGUCCAGACUCCUACGGGAGGCAGCAGUAGGGAAUCUUCCGCAAUGGGCGAAAGCCUGACGGAGCAACGCCGCGUGAGUGAUGAAGGUCUUCGGAUCGUAAAACUCUGUUAUUAGGGAAGAACAAACGUGUAAGUAACUGUGCACGUCUUGACGGUACCUAAUCAGAAAGCCACGGCUAACUACGU